rnacentral:snRNA from 1 species
GAGAGAACACAAGUUUUAGU